UACUGACAUUCUGGAAAUUAAUUGUGAAAAUGAUGUCACAGUGGCAAAAAAAAAAAAUAGUAUCAUUUUGCUUUUGAAUUUGGGAUGAACUAUGGUCUAGAUAUGUCACUAGAUAUGUAGAAAUAGUACAAAUUACAUGAGGGGUUCACCAUUGCAGCCAUGUUGGACAUGAUUUGUACCACUACGUGGCAGCAAAGAUCACCCUAUUCUCUACAACUAUUUAUUAAAAAAAGAAAAAGGUAAUCACACUGAAUUAUUGGUUUGAUUAAAUACGCAGAGAAAGACUUCAUUGAAAAAGAAAAAUGAAGCACCAGUGUUAUGCUUAAAGGCAUUCUGGAAAACCAAAACGGAAUUCACAUUGUGGCAUCAGAUUCCUUUUACCUUCUGACAAAUCGAUGAAUAUUUUAAGGCAUUAUCAUAGAUGCUUUUUAUACAAGAAGGACGAGAGCUGACCCUGUUUUCUGAGGUUCUGGAGGUUUGUGGUCUGUAAUGCUGCAGUUCCUCUGCGAGUGAGUGGUGGCAGCAUUUCAUCUACUGUGCUAGUGUAUUCAAUCCUGCUCCAACACACCUGGCUGCAAUUUCCAAGUCAAGCUGAAGGCUUUAAUCAUCUGGUUUAGGUGAUUUUGUUUAGAGCUGCAACUAAACUUUGCAGGACAGGAUUGAGCAGACCUGGGCUACAGUCAUAUUUCAGCUACAGUGGCUGCUCUGGAGUCCGUUUCCGCAGGACGUGGCCUCAUCACUACAGCCGGUUCUUUGGGUGAACAUAACAUCUCAUCCAACUUGUCUAGAAGCUGGCUGACUGACCUUUGACCCUCUCUCCUCGGUUGAGUGUGAUCUCACCCUCGCCCUGUGGAUUGUGGGAGCU